rnacentral:tRNA from 1 species
GGGCGAGUAGCUCAGUGGAUUAGAGCAUUUGGCUACGAACCAAAAGGUCAGGGGUUCAAAUCCCUUCUCGCUCAC